rnacentral:rRNA from 1 species
UGCUUUAAGAUAAUAAUUUAAAGUAACACCUGCUCAAUGAUUAAUUAAAUAGCCGCAGUUCACUGUGCUAAGGUAGCAUAAUAAUUUGCUUCCUAAUUAGAAGAAAGAAUGAAUGGUACUACACAUAAAAUCUAUUUAUGAUAAAUAUGUAAAAUUACAAAAGAAAGUAAAAAUGCAUCUAAUAAAAAGCGGGACGACAAGACCCUAAUAAACUUAUUAUUUAGUUGGGGAAACACUUCAAAAAAACUUUAAUUAUAUCUUUAUAAACCUUCAUAUAAAACUCAGUUACUAUAGGGAUAACAGCGUUAUUUCUUUCUAGAGCACUUAUCCAAAAAGAAGAUUACGACCUCGAUGUUGAAUUAAUUUACCUGAUUAAGCGCAAUAGCUAAACAAGGUAGUCUGUUCGACUAAUAAAAAUUU